rnacentral:misc_RNA from 1 species
GAUGAAGAACGCAGUAAAAUGCGAUAAGUAAUGUGAAUUGCAGAAUUCAGUGAAUCAUCGAAUCUUUGAACGCACAUUGCGCCCGCCAGUAUUCUGGCGGGCAUGCCUGUUCGAGCGUCAUUUCAACCCUCAAGCACAGCUUGGUGUUGGGACUCGCGUUAAUUCGCGUUCCCCAAAUUGAUUGGCGGUCACGUCGAGCUUCCAUAGCGUAGUAGUAAAACCCUCGUUACUGGUAAUCGUCGCGGCCACGCCGUUAAACCCCAACUUCUGAAUGUUGACCUCGGAUCAGGUAGGAAUACCCGCUGAACUUAAGCAUACCAAUAAGCGGAGGA